AUUGAACGCUGGCGGCAGGCCUAACACAUGCGAGUCGCGCGAGCGGCGGACGGGUGAGUAAUGUCUGGGAAACUGCCUGAUGGAGGGGGAUACCUACUGGAAACGGUAGCUAAUACCACAUACCAUCAGAUGUGCCCAGAUGGGAUUAGCUAGUAGGUGGUGUAAUGGCUCACCGAGGCGACGAUCCCUAGCUGGUCUGAGAGGAUGACCCGUGACACUGGACGUGAGCCACGGUCCCGACCUCUACGUGAGGGAGAAGUGGGGAAAAUUGCACAAUGGGCGCAAGCGUGAUGCAGCGAUGCCGGGUGUGUGAAGAAGGCUUUCGGGUUGUAAAGCACUUUCAGCGGGGAGGCGUUAACCGCAGAAGAAGCACCGGCUAACUCCGUGCCAGCAGCCGCGGUAAUAC
rnacentral:rRNA from 1 species